GAUGAACGCUGGCGGCGUGCCUAAUACAUGCAAGUCGAGCGAACAGACGAGGAGCUUGCUCCUCUGACGUUAGCGGCGGACGGGUGAGUAACACGUGGAUAACCUACCUAUAAGACUGGGAUAACUUCGGGAAACCGGAGCUAAUACCGGAUAACAUGUUGAACCGCAUGGUUCAACAGUGAAAGACGGUCUUGCUGUUACUUAUAGAUGGAUCCGCGCCGCAUUAGCUAGUUGGUAAGGUAACGGCUUACCAAGGCAACGAUGAGUAGCCGACCUGAGGGGGUGAUCGGCCACACGGGAACUGAGACACGGGCCAGACUCCUACGGGAGGCAGCAGUAGGGAAUCUUCCGCAAUGGGCGGAAGCCUGACGGAGCAACGCCGCGUGAGUGAAGAAGGUCUUCGGAUCGUAAAACUCUGUUAUUAGGGAAGAACAAAUGUGUAAGUAACUAUGCACGUCUUGACGGUACCUAAUCAGAAAGCCAGGGCUAACUACGUG
rnacentral:rRNA from 1 species